CUGGUUCUCCUCGAAAUAGCUUUAGGGCUAGCGUGUGAUGUUAAACUUUGGUGGUAGAGCACUGAAUAUGGAAUGGCGGCGCCUAGCUGUACUGACUAUAAUCAAACUCCGAAUACCAUUAAAAUUAAGCUAUGCAGUCGGAACGUGGGUGAUAACGUCCACGCUCGCGAGGGAAACAACCCAGAUCGUCAGCUAAGGUCCCAAAAUUGUGUUAAGUGAGAAAGGUUGUGAGAUUUCAUAAACAACUAGGAAGUUGGCUUAGAAGCAGCCACCUUUUAAAGAGUGCGUAAUUGCUCACUAGUCAAGAGAUCUUGCGCCAAUAAUGUAACGGGACUCAAACACAAUACCGAAGCUACGGGCACAUUAUGUGCGUUAGGAGAGCGUUUUAAUUUCGUUGAAGUCAGACCGUGAGGACUGGUGGAGAGAUUAAAAGUGAGAAUGCCGGCAUGAGUAACGAUUCGAAGUGAGAAUCUUCGACGCCUAUUGGGAAAGGUUUCCUGGGCAAGGUUCGUCCACCCAGGGUUAGUCAGGGCCUAAGAUGAGGCAGAAAUGCAUAGUCGAUGGACAACAGGUUAAUAUUCCUGUACUUGGUAAAAGAAUGAUGGAGUGACGAAAAAGGAUAGUUCUACCACUUACUGGAUUGUGGGGUAAGCAACAAGAGAGUUAUAUAGGCAAAUCCGUAUAGCAUAAUCUUGAGUUGUGAUGCAUAGUGAAGACUUCGGUCGAGUAACGAAUUGAAUGAUUUCAUGUUUCCAAGAAAAGCUUCUAGUGUUAAUUUUUUAUCAACCUGUACCGAGAACGAACACACGUUCCCAAGAUGAGUAUUCUAAGGCGAGCGAGAAAACCAAUGUUAAGGAACUCUGCAAAAUAACCCCGUAAGUUCGCGAGAAGGGGCGCCUAUUUUUAAUAGGCCACAGAAAAUAGGGGGGGCAACUGUUUAUCAAAAACACAGCUCUCUGCUAAGUCGCAAGACGAUGUAUAGGGGGUGAAGUCUGCC
rnacentral:rRNA from 1 species